rnacentral:rRNA from 1 species
UACAGAGACCUCAAGCGUUAUCCGGAAUCAUUGGGCGUAAAGCGUACCGAUAGGUGGUCUUACAAGUCAGAAGUGAAAUCUCAAAGCUCAACUUUGAGUCUGUCUUUUGAAACUGAUAAGACUAGAGGGGCAAAGAGGAAGCUGGAACGAACGGUGUAGUAGUGAAAUGCGUUGAUAUCGUUCGGAACACCAAUAGCGUAGGCAAGCUUCUGGGUGCCACCUGACACUGCUAGGACGAAAGCGUGGGGAGCGAAUGGG